CGCAAUGGGCGAAAACCUGACGGAGCAACGCCGCGUGAGGGAUGAAGGCCUCUGGGCAGUAAACCUUUUUUAUCAAGGAAGAAGAUCAGACGGUACUCGAGGAAUAAGCCCCGGCUAAUUCCGUGCCAGCAGCCGCGGUAAUACGGGAGGGGCAAGCGUUAUCCGGAAUUAUUGGGCGUAAAGGGUCCGCAGGCGGCCUUGUAAGUCAGUCGUUAAAGCCCCGAGCUUAACUCCAUUUCAGCGAUGGAAACUACAAGGCUUGAGUGUGGUAGGGGCAGAGGGAAUUCCCGGUGUAGCGGUGAAAUGCGUAGAUAUCGGGAAGAACACCAGUGGCGAAGGCGCUCAGCUGGGCCAUCACUGACGCUGGGGCGCGAAAGCCA
rnacentral:rRNA from 1 species